rnacentral:rRNA from 1 species
AACGAUGGCCACACUGUCUCCACCCGAGACUCAGUGAAAUUGAAUUUGCGGUCAAGAUGCCGUAUACCCGCGGCUAGACGGAAAGACCCCGUGAACCUUUACUACAGCUUGGCACUGAACAUUGAACCUACAUGUGUAGGAUAGGUGGGAGGCUUCGAAGCACAGUCGCUAGAUUGUGUGGAGCCGUCCUUGAAAUACCACCCUGUAUACCAUUUUGACCUAACUUGGACCCAUGAAUCUGGGCCGAAGACAGUGUUUGCUGGGCAGUUUGACUGGGGCGGUCUCCUCCUAAAGAGUAACGGAGGAGCGCGAAGGUACCCUCAGCAUGGUCGGAAAUCAUGCAAUGAGUGCAAUAGCAUAAGGGUGCUUGACUGCGAGACAGACACGUCGAGCAGGUACGAAAGUAGG